GCCUUCGUGGUGUAGUGGUCUGCACGCUCGACGCGUAACCGAGAGGUCCGUGGUUCGAUUCCCGGCGAAGGCG
rfam:Stegodyphus mimosarum contig30387, whole genome shotgun sequence.